GACGAACGCUGGCGGCGUGCUUAACACAUGCAAGUCGAACGGGCCCGCCCCUGUUUUUGGGGGUGGGUUGAGUGGCGAACGGGUGAGUAUCACGUGAGUAACCUGCCCCCUGCUCCUGGAUAACUGCUUGAAAGGGCGGCUAAUACGGGGUGUGCCGGCUGGUCCGCAUGGGCCUGGUCGGGAUAGUUUCAUCUUCGGGUGUUUCGGUGGGGGAUGGGCUCGCGGCCUAUCAGCUUGUUGGUGGGGUGAUGGCCCACCAAGGCGGUGACGGGUAGCCGGCCUGAGAGGGUGGGCGGCCACACUGGGACUGAGACACGGCCCAGACUCCUGCGGGAGGCAGCAGUGGGGGGUAGUGCACAAUGGGCGGAAGCCUGAUGCAGCGACGUCGCGUGAGGGAUGGAGGCCUUCGGGUUGUGAACCUCUUUCUCCGGUGGUGAAGGCCCUGUCCGUUGCGGCGGGGUUGACGGUAGCCGGGGAUGAAGCGCCGGCUAACUACGUG
rnacentral:rRNA from 1 species